rnacentral:lncRNA from 1 species
UUUUUUUUUUUUUAAGAUUUAUUUUAUUUUAUUUUUUGGCCACACCUGAGGCAUGUGGAAUUUCCAGGGCCAGGGGUUGAACCUGCGCCACAGCAGCAACCAGAGCCACUGCAGUGACAAUGCUGGAGCCUUAACCUGCUGCACCACGAGAGAACUCCGAACCAUUAGUUUUCUACUGGUGCUAUAAAAAAUUACUGCAAGCUAGAGGCUUAGGAAAACCUUUAUAGUUCUGGAGAUCAGUAGUCUAAAAUGGGUCUUAUGAACCACGAUCAAGCUGUCCUUCCUGGAGCUCUAGGAAAGAAUCUUUUUUCCCUGACUUUUCCAGCUUCUAGAGGCUGCCAGCAUCCCUUGGCUCCAGGCCCCUUCUUCCAUCUUCAAAGCAUAUCACUCCAGCUUCUCCUGUCAAUAUGUUGUCUUGACUCCGCUACUACUGCCUCCUUUUUAUAAGUGAUCACACUGGGCCACUCAGGUAAUCCAGGAUUAUCUCCCUAACUCACAACCCCUAAUCAUAUCUGCAAAGUCCUUUUACCAAUGGAUACAUUAAAAUGGAAUACUAAAAUGUAUUUAAAUGAUCCAAAAGACUCCAAACGAGAGGAAUUAGAGGACUAAAAAACAGAGGAGACAAACAGAAAACAUAUCACAUAAUGACAGAGUUAAAUCCAAACACAUCAAUAAUUACAUUAAAUGUAAACCACUUUACACCUAUUAGGGUGGCUGCUACUAAAAAAAAAAAAAAACCCACAGAAAAUAACAACAGUGCUGUUAUUAUAAAUAACAAUCCUAACAGUGCUGAUGAGGAUGAGGGGAAAUUAAUGUAAAAUAGUGUGCCCAUGAUGGAAAAUAUUAUGGCAGUACCUCAAAUAAAUUAAAAAUGGAAUUACCAUAUGAUUCAGCUAUUCCUCUUCUCUAUAUACACAAAAGAACUGAAAACACAAAGAGAUAUUUGUACACCCAUUUUCAUAGCAUUACUCAUAAUAGCCAAAAGGUGGAAGAAACCCAAGUGCCUGCUAACAGAUUAAAAAAAAAAGAAGGGUGGUAUAUACAUAAAAUGGAAUAGUAUUCAACUUCAAAAAAGGAAGGACCUCCUCACACAUGUUAUACUAUGGAUGGACCUUGAAGACAUUAGGCUAAGUGAAAUAAGCCAGUCACAAAAGGACAAAUACCAUAAGACUCCACUUACAUGAGGUACCCAGAGCAGUCAAAUUCAUAGACUCAGAAAGCAGGAUGGUUGUUGCUAGAGGCUGCUGAGAGGAGGGAACGGGCAGUUGUUCUUUAGUAAGGACUGGGCUUCAGCGCUAUAAAAAAAGUUCUGGAGAUGGAUAAAACAAAUUGUGUUGCUGUGAGCUGUGGUGUAGGUCGCAGAAGAGGCUUGGAUCUGGCAUUGCUGUGGCAGUGGCAUAGGCCCACGGCUACUGCUCUGAUUCAACCCCUAGCCUGGGAACCUCCAUAUGCCAUGGGUGGAGCCCUAAAAAAAUUUUUUUAAAUGAAAGUAGAGUAAUAGAGACACAAUUACAAAAAUGAAAAGACAAGCCAUAGAUUGAGAAAAUAUUUGCGAAAUGCAUAUCUGAUAAAGGACUGGUAUCCAAAGUAUACAAAGAACUCUUAAAACUCAACAAGAGACCCAACUGAAAAACAGACAAAAGAUUUUCAAACACUUCACCAUGUACAAAUGGCAAAUAAGUAUAUGAAAAAGAUGCUAAAUAUCAUAUGCCAUUAGAGAACUGCAAAGUAGAAGAACAGUGAGAUACCACUACAAAUCUAUUUUUAGGCCAAAAUCCAAAACAUUGACGUCAUCAAAUUCUGAUGAAGACAUGGAGAAACAGGAACUCUCAUUUGUUGCUGCUGUGAAUGUAAAAUAAAAAUAGUAAAACUGUUUUGGAAGACAGUUUGGCAGUUUCCUAAAAAAGGAAAUAUAUGCUUUCUAUAUAAACCAGUGGGCAUGUUACUUGGUAUUUACCCAAUAAAUUGACAGGUUUCUAACUCCAUGACAUUUGAGAAAAGGCAAAAUUACAGGGACAGUAAAAAGAUCAGUGGUCGCAAGGGCAGAGAGCAAGGAAUGGAUAGAUGGAACACAAGAGACUUUUCGAGAAGUGAAGAUCUUCAUUUGGUCUUAAUGAUGCUGCAAUGAUGGAUACACCUUGUAAUACAGUGGUCAAAACCCAUAGAAAGUAUAAUACUAAGAGUGAGCCCUAUGGGGUUUAGUUAGUAAUGUAUCAAUAUUAGCUGACAAAUUGUAACACAUGUACCACAGUAGUGCAAGAUAUUAAUAAUGAGGAAAUUGGGUAUGAGGGGUGGGGAGGUAAAGGGAUAUAAAGGAACUCUCUAGGCUCACUUUUUCUGUAAACCUAAAAAUACAUACACACACACACACACAUCCCCCCCCUUACAUACACACAAUAAAUAAUUUUGUAAAAAAGGAAAUGUGUAAGAGUAUUUAUAAUAACUCCCUUUAGUCUAAGAAUAAAGGGGGGCAAUAAGAAAAUAUACACACAAUUGUUGAUUUUAGCAAAAGAAACACCAGGCAGAUAAAAAGAAACUAAUGAGACUGCUUACCUUCCACAGUAGAUGGGAUGGGUGCAGUGAUACUUCUCUGGGUCUAACUAUUAUGUAGUCAUGACUUUUGUAAAUAUGUUAAAGUUUUACCUUCUAAAACACACAAACAACAAGAAUGAGAGAGAGGGCCCUUAAAACUGAACAAACCAGAAUACAUUUAAAUGAAUUAAAAACAGACUAUGUUCUUUGACUACACAAGAAUUAAAUGAUAAUUCAAUAAUACAAAAUCUGAGAAAUUCUAAAUAUUUGAAAGCUAAACAAUACACAAUUAAGUAAUCCAGGAGUUAAAGAGGAAAUUUCAAGGAAAAGUAGAAAAUAUCUCAAAAUGAAUGAAAAGGAAAAUACAUGUCAAAAAACGUGUGGAAUGGAGCUAAAACAAGUGCUAUUUAUCUGUCUGUCUGUCUGUCUUUUUAGGGUUGCACUCCCAGCAUAUGGAAGUUUCCAGGCCAAGGGUCAAAUCAGAGCUGCCGUUGCAGACCUAUGCCACAGCCAGAGCCACAGCAACACCAGAUCUGAGCUGCAUCUGCGACCUACACCACAGCUCACUUAACCCACUGAGCAAGGCCAGGGAUGGAACCCACGUCCUCAUGGAUACUAGUCCAGUUAAUUACUGCUGAGCCAAAUGGGUACUCCCUAUAAAUUUUUAACAUUAAAUCAAUCAUCUUAGAAGUCCCAAGCCAAUAAUUUAAACUUUCAGUUAAAGAAGCUAAGCACAAAAAGAAGGAAAUAAACGUAGCAGAAAUCAGAAAAAUGCAAUAGAAAAAAGUAGGAAAAAUUCAUGAAAGCUAAAACUAGUUUUUUGAAAAGAUGAAUAAAAACAGACUGACUGAGCAAGGGUUAAAAAGAGAGAGAAGACAUGAAUUGCUGACAUUAGGGAAAAAACAGGAGCUAUCACUACGACAUAACAGAGAGAUUUGACUAACAAGGCAUCUAAAGUCUCCAGCUCUGUACUUCCCCAAGCUUUAGAUGCAUUUACCUAAAUGUCUGCUGGACCUGGAUGUCGGCAUGUCCAAUACUGCGUUCACCUCAGAUUUGCUACUCACUCUCUCCUGUUCAUUUUCAAUCACAGGUAUUACUAACCUAUCUGGUUACCCAGGCAGAAACCUGAAAGCAAUCCCAGUCUCCUCCUUUAUCCUCAUCCCCAGAAUGCAAUCACUUAGUUCUAAUGCUCUUACCUCCACAUUUUCUAGAAACUUCCCUUCCUCAGCAUCCCUAUCACAACUCCUUUAGUUCAGGCCUGCAGCAUCUUUCACCAGGAAUAUAAUAAAGUUAUAUUGUAAAGUCCUUGUUAACCUCUAAUACUAUUUUUUCUUUACUUUUCUUUAGAAUAGCGCAAACUAAAAUUGUCCAAAGUUUCAUGAACUUAAUAUGUUUUGCCUCUGUUUCCAAAAUUUUGUUUUACUGUUCCCUCUGCCUAGAAUAUUCUCCAAUUUUUUACUACAUAUAUUCCUUCACUUUUUGAGAUGCUGUUAAGAUAUAUCCACCAGAAAAAACCUUUUAUGAAUUCCUAGGUGAGUUAAGUUUCUUUCCUCUAUGCUCCAACAGCACCCCAGCUAAACCAUUGUCAUUGCACUUACCUAAUUUAAGACAUUUUUGUUCUUUAACUACAUGAUUGUCUAUUGAAUAUUUAUUUCCAAGUGCAGAGACUGUUUCACUUAGCUUUUUAACUCUCAUGCCUAGCACAUACCUGGCAUAUGACAGGUAGUCAACAUAUCUUGUUGAAAGAAAGUAGUUCUUUUCCAUUUUGCACGUCUGCCAAAUUAAUAUUUCAAAAGUUCCAUUUUCAACAUGCCAUGGUGCUGUUCAGAAACAUUCAAGGAUUGUCACAUGAUGAAGUACAAAUAUCUUAAGCCUAGUCAUCCAUAACAAGACCCCAAACUACCUACACAGCUUUAUCUUCCACUAUAUUUGCAUAGUAGAUAUGAUAUAUGUAAACAUAUAUUAGAUAUAUCAUAUAUAUAUGAUAUAUAUGUGAUUAUCUUUAAUUCUAAACAAGUCUACUCACAGUCAUCCAAACUGAUUUUUUGACCUCUAAUUCUCAAAACCAUUGCAAUCCAUAAAAACAUUGGCCUAAACUCAAUCCUAUCUUAGCAACUCACUACCAUGAUGCUGUGUGAUAUUAAAAUACUGUUGUCAUGGAUACAUGGAUAGAAUGGUCACACUCCUACCUUCCUGAUCUCCAGCAAACUAGUAGGGGAAAGGCCAAGACAACUUUUUGUUCAACUUAUAAUAAGAUAUCAUGUAUGUAAGAAAAACAUUAAACUCUUUCCUGCUUUACUCACCCUCUUUUUCUCCAGUCCAGCCUUCUUUCAUCUUUCUUGUCUUGAAGUUCAUCAGGGACAAGAAGGAAAGGAUUAGCUAAUAUGAGACUUCUUUCCCUGAGGCUAUGCUUCUUCUGUUAAUCAAAACACUAACCUGAAAAAGUUCUAGAUAACCAGAAUUUCAAAAAUAAACAGAAAUUCCACUAAGAAAAUCAGGGUGUCUUAUGAUGUUUGGUGUGUGGACUUUCAGACCUGCCACAUUAGCCAUUAAUGGUAGGACCGUUAGCCCAAACGGUCCUACGCAGACCAAUCAUUUCUGAUUUUGGAACAAGAUGUGCUGUCAGGAAACAGCUGGCAUUCAUAGAAGUCAAAGAAAGGAGACUGACUCCACCAUCUCCAAGCACGUACUCUGAAGAUAACUGUUGCUCCUGAAGGGGGGAAAGCCACCAGUGUAAAAUAUUCCAAAGAACGUUUUAAUUCUUUGAGUUCUUACAUCUAAUAUACUGGUCUAAUGAAAGGAAAAUGAGGUUAGGAGGGCAAAGGUGGGAACAAACAAAAGGCAUGUAUAUGAUUCAUCAAAAAUCUCAAAAUGACUUGUAAAAAUAAUCUAAGAAUGAAGGCAUUCCUUCUAAGAGGCUUCUGUUGGGAUAACAAAUUAAAGCACAAAUUUUCAGGGGCAGUUCUUAAAAGAACAGAGGAUAUUAAUGUAGCCUACACUUACCCAACUUUGUAUUCAUUAUUUCUUUUCUUUCUUUCUUUCUUUUUUGUCUUUUUAGGGCUGCACCCACAGCAUAUGGAGCUGCCCAGGCUAGGGGUCGAAUCAGAGUUGUAGCUGCUGGCCUAUGCCAGAGCCACAGCAACACCAGAUCCAAGCCGUGUCUAUGACAUACACCACAGCUCAUGGCAACACCGGAUUUUAACCCACUGAGCGAGGCCAGGGAUCGAACCUGCCUCCUCAUGGAUGCUAGUCAGAUUCAUUUCCGCUGAGCCACGACAGGAACUCCAUAUUCAUUAUUUCUAAUCUAUACAACUCAGUCAGGUGAUCUGGCUGGACAGUUUCAUAAGAGAACCCCAAAUGCUAUUUUUUUUCUUGUUGGGCUGAUGUUAUUUCCCAGAGAAGGCUCUGUUACACUCCUAUCUGGAGAGACUUGUCUUGUGUUCUGCAAGCAGCUUUUUAGUCUCCCACUCUUAAUAUGAGCAGAUAGCAAAGAAUUACCAAACAUCUCAAAAAAGGCUGUAAUAUUAAACAGGUGCGAAAAAAAAAAAAAAAAAGAGGAAAAGCA